UCUUCCUUCAUGCUUUUGGAAUUGAAGUGAGAUAGUUUAGGUUACGAAAUUCGUCACACCGAUAGCAUAAAGGAACACUUAGAGGCAAAGGUAAGUAUAUACAGUUGUCAGCAAUAUGAUUCUGCUCUUGGUUGUUGAAACACGUGUGGGAUGAAACACAGAUUAUGAGAAUCUUCAUGGUUAUAUUAUGACUUUAUCAAAAGUAUGCAAAGAUUUUCCUAUGGCCAAGCAAGGUGUUUACGCACUCGUAAAAUAUGUAUCACAGAAGACUUAGAACCAACCAGGGUGACAAUUAUUGAUGAAGAAAGUGAUAUACGAAAGUUUUAGUCAAGCUGCAAAAUCCAAUUAAUUACAAUACGAGGUUUUCAGGAAUUAUGAAAGACAUGAAGGUCGUGAUGACGAAUAUUUUAGAUGUACAAGUUUCUUGGAUAAAACGAUCUUGAUAGGUAGCGUAGAUACGACUUGGACAAUAGGAGCAGUCUUAAAAAAGAGAUUACAACCUUGCUAUUGUCAUUCGCAUUCAGUGAU